CCUACGGGUGGCAGCAGUGGGGGAUAUUGCACAAUGGGGGAAACCCUGAUGCAGCAACGCCGCGUGAGUGAAGAAGGUCUUCGGAUCGUAAAGCUCUGUUCUUGGAGAAGAUAAUGACGGUAGCCAAGGAGAAAGCUCUCGACAAAAACGUACCAGCAGCCGCGGGAAUACGUAGGGCGCGAGCGUUCUCCGGAUUUACUGGGUGUAAAGUGUGCGCAGGCGGUUCUGCAAGUCAGGCGUGAAAGCUAGGGGCUCAACCCCAGAAGUGCGCUUGAAACUGGGGGGCUUGAGUGAAGUAGAGGCAGGUGGAACUCCAGGUGUAGCGGUGAAAUGCGUAGAGAUCGGGAGGAACACCAGUGGCGAAAGCGGCCUGCUGGGCUUUAACUGACGCUCAGGUACGAAAGCAUGGGUAGCAAACAGGAUUAGAUACCCUUGUAGUC
rnacentral:rRNA from 1 species